rnacentral:rRNA from 1 species
AAUGAACGUUGGCGGCGUGGAUUAGGCAUGCAAGUCGUGCGAGAACCGUAGCAAUACGGGGACAGCGGCGAAAGGGAGAGGAAUACGCGGGUACCUACCCUCGGAUCUGGGAUAGCUACGGGAAACUGUAGGUAAUACCAGAUGACGUCUUCGGACCAAAGGUGUGAUUCCGUCCGGGGAGGGGCCCACGUCCUAUUAGCUUGUUGGCGAGGUAACGGCUCACCAAGGCAAAGAUGGGUAUGGGCUGUGAGAGCAUGAUCCCACUCACUGGGACUGAGACACUGCCCAGACACCUACGGGUGGGUGCAGUCGAGAAUCUUCGGCAAUGGGGGCAACCCUGACCGAGCGACGCCGCGUGCGAGAUGAAGGCCUUCGGGUUGUAAAUCGCUGUCAGUGGGGAGGAAAUGCUGGUGGGUUCUCCCAUCAGUUUGACCUAUCCGCAGAGGAAGGACGGGCUAAGUUCGUGCCAGCAGCCGCCGUAACAC